AUACGUAGGGUGCGAGAGUUGUCCGGAAUUACUGGGCGUAAAGAGCUCGUAGGUGGUUUGUCGCGUCGUCUGUGAAAUUCCGGGGCUUAACUCCGGGCGUGCAGGCGAUACGGGCAUAACUUGAGUACUGUAGGGGAGACUGGAAUUCCUGGUGCAGCGGUGAAAUGCGCAACUAUCAGGAGGAACACCGGUGGCGAAGGCGGUUCCUAGGUCAGUAAAGGACGCUGAGGAGAGAAAGCAUGGGUAGAAAAGAGGUGUAGAUACCUUGGUAGUCCAUGCCUUAAACAGUAGACACAAGGUGUAGGGGUAUUCCACGGAUUCUGUGCAGAAGCUAACCCAUGAAGAGCCCCGCCUGGGGAGUACGGCCGCAAGACUAAAACUUAAAGGAAUUGACGGGG
rnacentral:rRNA from 1 species